ACUUUGGUAGUCUAAUAGACAUUUGAUUUCGACUCAAAAGAACUUAUACUAUAAGCCACAGUA
rnacentral:tRNA from 1 species